GACGAACGCUGGCGGCGUGCCUAAUACAUGCAAGUCGAGUGGACUUGAAGGAGUGCUUGCACUCCUGAGAGUUAGCGGCGGACGGGUGAGUAACACGUAGGCAACCUGCCCUCAAGACUGGGAUAACUACCGGAAACGGUAGCUAAUACCGGAUAAUUUAUUACAUAGCAUUAUGUGAUAAUGAAAGACGGAGCAAUCUGUCACUUGGGGAUGGGCCUGCGGCGCAUUAGCUAGUUGGUGGGGUAACGGCCCACCAAGGCGACGAUGCGUAGCCGACCUGAGAGGGUGAACGGCCACACUGGGACUGAGACACGGCCCAGACUCCUACGGGAGGCAGCAGUAGGGAAUCUUCCGCAAUGGGCGAAAGCCUGACGGAGCAACGCCGCGUGAGUGAUGAAGGUUUUCGGAUCGUAAAGCUCUGUUGCCAAGGAAGAACGUCUCAUAGAGUAACUGCUAUGAGAGUGACGGUACUUGAGAAGAAAGCCCCGGCUAACUACGUG
rnacentral:rRNA from 1 species